AGCCCGUCCUAUUUCCCCCACACCGAGCCUUUAGCUCCAUCUCUUUCUCUCUCUCCUCCCAUGUCCGGCCGUCGCCGCCGACGGUCGAUCUCCUCCAUCAUAGUUUCUCUAUCCCUUUCCUCGCGCCACCAUGUUGGCCUCCCUCCGGCGAACUCAUUUUGCCCAUCUCCCCCUUCUCUCCCACCUCACUUUAAGCCAUCACCGAGCUCUCUCUUUCCUGCCGGGCCGAGCUCUUGUCACCGGUGUUCCCAUCUAAUCCUUCCUCUCCUGCAGUGGAAAUCGCGUCCUACUGGUGCACCACAUCCGGGAACACGCGUGACCGCCGGUGUCGCCGCAUCCCGACCACCGGAGGGCCGGCGCCCCUCCUCCCCGUCCUCUCUGUUUGCCCGUGGUGGAAGAGAAGAAGAAGGAAGAGACGGGAGGAAGAAGAAGAGAGAGAAAAAGAAAAGGGAAAAAGACUGACAGUUUUUAUAGGAAUAGAAGGCCCAACAAGACUCUCUAGUUUGAGAUGUUUUGAGUGUGGCGAGAAGGAGCAUUCUGCCUAAAGUGUCAUUCCAAGGAAGAUGAAGGGGACAAAUCAUUAAAGAAGAGUAAGAGUGGAAGCCACAAGCUCAUGAAGAAACCCGAGAAAGAAUGAAAGAAUAUUGAGGCUUUCAUUGGACAAUGAGAUUUAAAUGAAGAGAGCUCCGGUUCUCUAUCCGUCUCCGACGCUGAUGAGAGUGAUGAUGAUGGAUAAUCUUAAUGGGUUUCGCUGGUUUUACAUAGGUACCAUGCAUGGUACAUAUUAAUGGUCAAAGUUGAAUCUUGAAGGCGAAAGUUUCUUGUUUGAUAAUUCAUACGAAUUAGUUUCACAUUCCACGGAAAAUAUGAAAUUUCUCGGUCCUCAUUCUACAGCUUAUUGCUUAGAAUCUUCA